AUGGAAAGGGAACAAAACAUGGCAAUGUUUAUGGAUAGCUACGGGAAUUGCGCCUCAAGUUCUAAAUCCGUGAAGACUCGUCAUACAAUCCCUUACACGCCGGGCUAUCAUUCAGAUGACAAAGUCCAAAGAACAGUGAUGCCAAGCUUGUUUGGAGACACUCAAGGCGUUGAUGUAUCUACAGCAAUGCGAAGAGCCUUACAACUUGGGGCUGUUUUUGACGAGUUUCGGUAUUCCAAUGGUCCUUCUAGUGACGAACCAUGUGAAGUUAUAGGACAUAUAACAGGAGAAGAUGGUAUCGUUGAUGAAGCUAAUGGCUCAAAUUCAUCUAGCCAUGAUCAAGUUGUUGCUCAAACAUACAAUUCAAGAGCUGCACAAGCGAUCACAUUCAGGAACAAUUAUAAUCACGACCAAGUCUCCAACAUAAGUAAGGUUCCGGUUCAGGGCCUUGUAGACUAUCCAGAUUCCGAGGAUUAUGAUUAA
rnacentral:rRNA from 1 species